rnacentral:rRNA from 1 species
AGUGAACGCUGGCGGUAGGCCUAACACAUGCAAGUCGAACGGCAGCACAGUAAGAGCUUGCUCUUAUGGGUGGCGAGUGGCGGACGGGAGAGGAAUACAUCGGAAUCGACUUUUUCGUGGGGGAUAACGUAGGGAAACUUACGCUCAUACCGCAUACGACCUACGGGUGAAAGCAGGGGAUCUUCGGACCUUGCGCGAUUGAAUGCGCCGAUGUCGGAUUAGCUAGUUGGCGGGGUAAAGGCCCACCAAGGCGACGAUCCGUAGCUGGUCUGAGAGGAUGAUCAGCCACACUGGAACGGAGACACGGUCCAGACUCCUACGGGAGGCAGCAGUGGGGAAUAUUGGACAAUGGGCGCAAGCCUGAUCCAGCCAUACCGCGUGGGUGAAGAAGGCCUUCGGGUUGUAAAGCCCUUUUGUUGGGAAAGAAAAGCAGCAGGUUAAUACCCCGCUGUUCUGACGGUACCCAAAGAAUAAGCACCGGCUAACUUCGUG